GGCAAGGCAAGGGUUACACGCAAGGAACAAGAACGUGCUGCUGUUCAAAAGUUAAACUGAGGACUAUAUUCUCAAACGCUUCCGUGUAGAUCUCUACUACUUUUGAAAAGCUCGAGUGGGAGUUUAUGAUGCUUUGAAGAGUGAUUUCAUGACUGGGGACAAUUUAACAAGGAUCCUGCAUCAUCAGUGACAAAACUAAAUCCAUUAGAAUCUUUCUUAUCAUCUCCGUGGCCUUUUGAUCUGUGAUACUUGUAUUUUUUUAGCGCAAUAAAUAAAUAGCGCAAUAAAUUCUGAUCGGUAACUUAGCAACACUAUCCGCACACUACACAGAUAGACGCAGCUAGUCGCCUGCUUUCCUCUGUUGGUGGAAGUGUUAGCACAUCUUCCUUCGCUAAUCUGGCCAUUUUUUUCCUUGUGUUUUCGUGACCUUUGAUGUAUUUUUUUCUGAUGGCUAAAAGAGUAACAAGUAGAGAGAAUACAGUAGCAGUGAUAUAAUUGCACAAGUCUGCCCAGUAAGUGAAGAAUAUUUCUGCCCAUGCUGGCGCCAGUGUCCGCGUGUGUGAGAAACUCGUUAAGCUAUCUCCUGAUGAAGGCGGGAAGGACAUGCAAACCCUUUGUUCCAGGUCUGGUAGGCUAAGAUGAAUGAAUUCAAGGACCAAGAAACUUACUGGAAGGCAAGUAUCUGCCAAUCUCCUCCUGACCACGUGAAUAAAAAAAAAAAAAAAAAAAACGCAACUUGGAUAAAGUCCGAGCGUGCAGCAGUGCUUCAUGAUAGGCUGCAGAUUCAUGAUAGGCUGCAGCUUCGCAGUUAUCAUGCUCGCAAGAAACUCCCUUCUUAUAACCGCACAGAAAACAAAGAAAGUGAAUUUUGCAAAGAAAUAUCAAGAAUGGGAUCUGCAGACGUGGAAGAAAGUACUGUGGUCUGAUGAGGCAACAUUUUCAGUCACAGGAAGCAGUUGGAGAAGAGUGUAUCGUAAGCCUAACUCUGACCACCCACGCAGCACGGUACACAGAGAAGACGGUGAAGCACCCUGCAUUGCUGAUGGUGUGGAGAUAUUUCAUCUAUUACGGUGUUGGUGAACUUGUUGUUUUACCGGAAAAAAAUAAAUAAAUAAAAUAAAUAAAUAAUUAUUUGGAAAUUUUCUGCGAUCAUCUGCCAAAAUCGUUCGAGGAUACGCAGGCAGACAUUUUCAUGCAGGACGGUGCACCAUGCCAUACCAGUAAAUCAGUGGUGCAGUGGCUGCAGGACUGUGAAAUUAAACACUUUAAAGACUGGCUAGGCAACAUUCCUGACUUGAACCACAUUGAAAACUUGUGGGCACUAAUAAAACGUCGCCUUUGAAACAGACACGUCAUCUCUUCCCAAGCUGGAGGCUGCCAUUAGGGAUAUUUGGAUUACUUUUCUAGUCCAGGAACUCCAGAACCUUGUAGACUCCGUCCCCAAGAAGCUAAAGGACUGCAUCAAGCGCCAGGGCAACACUACAAAGUAUUGGAGGGGUGAUGAAUGCGGCAGAAACGGCGCCACCACCACCACCACCACCACCACCACCACCACCACCACCACCUCCACCGCAGGACUGUGAGGAGAAGAAAUUAAGGAAAUGUACGAACCUGAGACAAGAUCUUCCUUCCACAGAAGGGCUGCGGUGAUUGGCUGUUGGGAAGAUGACGUAACUUUCGGCAGCCAAACACGUGAGUGUGUAGGAAUGACGCCACUGGCUCGGCGUGGCGACGUGUUGCUGGCGUGCGAUGAUCUUCUCGUUUGUCCGUGUUGAAUAUACCGUGUUGAGUUAUGGGUUCCCUCCACGCCUUCCCCUCCAUUACUCCACGCGAGUUUCCCUACAUUCCUUUCUCCUUUCUCUCCAUUACCUCCUGAACGUUUUCUGUGACUCCUCUUGGCCUCCUCCCCCUCCUCCUCCUCCUCCUCCUCCUCCUCCUCCUCCUCCUCCUCCUCCUCCUCUUCCUCCCCUACAUCAUUCCUUCCAUGUCUGUUGUUGCUACGCCUCAACUUGAUCAAUUAAUCACGCCUCCCACAUCUCUCCGUCCACAGUCCCUCCCUCAGUCUGGUGCUUUGCCUCAGUUUGCAGAACACUGAGCUGUGGACUUAUGCGUCGUGAUGUCAGGUUAGAACAAGUUUAGGCGAAUACUUGUGAAUGUAAAUAAGUUGUGGUUUGGCUAAGAGGAGAAAAUUACGGUGAUUUCAUUCUUAUGAGUUCUGUUUUUGUUAAUUAAUUUAUAGAAGGAUAGUAAGCAAAAUUAUGUGAACUCUUAAUACAUAAAUAUUGAAACUGGUUAAAGUGUUCUUAUCAAAGACAUACUGUACAACUUGUGUGUGAUGUUUGCGUUCUUAAAAGUUAUCCUGAAGAUGGCUUUAAAAAUGAAAGUUUG